rnacentral:lncRNA from 1 species
UAAAUAAUUAUUCUAUUUACUGAUCGGGAUAAGUUACAUUUUAAGUUUAGGAUCAAAAACAAAUGUUCUGUUAUAUUGCAGCAAAUAGAAAAUUAUGUAUUAUAUGCUUAGAAUGAUAAGCCUACCCAUUGUAAUCUAUUCAUUUCCCAUGAUUCUGUCUUGUAAAUUGAAAAUUCCAUUGGAAAAAUGAAUCUAGAUAACAGCUGAACAGUCCCGAUCACUUGCAACCUUAACGUUUAAUUAUAAUUUUCGCUCUCCAAUGACAGAAUAUUGUAAUCCUUGGUUAGUUAACGUAACUGUAUCUAUUCCUGCAAACAUAAUGAGGGUUUUAGGUUUCAUUUGUGUUAUUAGCCUAUCAUAGAAAUCCUAUUAGAGCUAAUUUAUGUUAACAUUAUGUUACGUUACCUUCCAAAAUGCGCCACUUUGGGUAAUGUUAACGGUUAAGGUUAAAGUUAGCUAAGUGACUGUUAAGUUAGCUAGCUAAAUGAACGCUGAAAAUGAAUUAACUUUAGCCAGACAGAAAAUCAACUGUUACAUGAAUAAGUCGAAUUUAAGCAAACACAUUUAAAUACAUACGUUAAUUCACAUACCUCUAAAUUCACCCAACUGCGUAGAAGCAAAAUCUGGGUGGCCGCCGUCAAGUACCGCCGUUCGUCUUCAUUCAAAGAUGUACCGUUGGUUUGGGAGGUCUCGCGAGAUCUCGCACAGUGUCCCUUCCUGGGCACCGUACAAUCCCGCCACUGAAUGUAUAGAUACCGGAAGCUUGCGAGCGGUAAAACUGGUUACGGCGUGUUUAGGUUAUAGCAUGGAUGCUGAGGACAUUUGCGUGAGAUAGCGUUGCUUGCCCAGUCUAGUUGACUAACGUUAGCUACGUUACAAGACAGUUACAGUAAUAGCUAUGUCGAAAAGAAAACACAACGUUACUCUCAACACGAAAGAAAAAGAUUGGUUGAGAGAAAACGUUCCAAGACGUACUUUGACAAGAUGGAAAAAAAGGAAAAUCAACAGAACUUUGACUGACAUUGAAAAACACACUGCUCAACGACAUGUAAGUGCAGCCCGGUUCUUGUCCUCUCGGUUUUAGGAGCUUAAGGUAUACAUUUCAACAGUUAUGUAACUUUAUAAGAUAUUAUUUUACUUAUAGCCUGCCAUACACAAUAUCAUUCAAGCCCUGACAUGUGUGGACAUACUGCAACAGUUGCGAAUCUGAAAGGAUAAUGUUAGCUUCACCAAAAUGUGCACAGCUGGCAUAGGUGUUUUUCAUGUUGUUUAUUUAUAAUGUACCUGGUGUUUACAGACCUUAAGGCUGAUGUACCAUCAUGUUGAAACGAUCGGUAACGUUACAGCAUUUACAGCAACUACUGUUAGUCAGCUCUAUUCACCUCGUAAAGUGAAUUCAGUAAAAUUCAAAAGGCUUUACUUGCAUGAACGUUUUAACAACAAUGUUGCCAAACAAAGCAUCAAAAUACAAGUUGUCUAAUAUUUGGACAGUACACAAUAACCGUAAUAUGAACAUUCAUACAAGAUUAAGAUUGAUAUGUAUUGCAUACAGUAUCAUAUGUAUGUAUGCAUGAAUGUAUAUUUGAGUUGAACUUGUUACAGUAAAUAUUCUCUCUCUUUCUCUCACUAACCUUACAAUAUUAUUGUAACAAGGACUAUCUCUGUGUCUCCUGCCCUUACCCCAUCUCUCCCCCUUUUUAUCUUUUUGAUUAAUAAUGGACUUGUGUUCUUUUUAGGAAAUUGAUGAAGGUGCCAGCCAAAGCGAAGAGCAGAGAGCAGAGCCUUUCACAUUAACACAGGUGAGACAAAACUACAGUAUUAUACAAUGCUCUCUCUCUCACUCCUCUCUCAAACUACAGCGACUAUAUCUGUCUCCUCCCAUACCCCAUCUCUCUCCCUCCUUUUUUUAUAUUUUUGAUGAAUAAUGGACUUGUGUUCUUUUUAGGAAAUUGAUGAAGGUGCCAGCCAAAGCGAAGAGCAGAGAGCAGAGCCUUUCACAUUAACACAGGUGAGACAAAACUACAGUAUUAUACAAUGCUCUCUCUCUCGCUCCUCUCUCAAACUACAGCUACUAUAUCUGUCUCCUCCCAUACCCCAUCUCUCUCCCUCCUUUUUUUAUAUUUUUGAUGAAUAAUGGACUUGUGUUCUUUUUAGGAAAUUGAUGAAGAUGCCAGCCAAAGCGAAGAGCAGAGAGCAGAGCCUUUCACAUCAACACAGGUGAGACAAAACUACAGUAUUAAACACUGUUCUCUCUCCCUCCCUCUCUCUCUCGCACACACCCUCUCUCAAACUACAGCUACUAUAUCUGUCACCUCCCAUACCCCAUCCCUCUCCCUCUUUAUCUUAUCUUAUUGAUAAAUAAUGGAUUUGUGUUCUUUUUAGGAAAUUGAUGAAGAUCCCAGCCAAAGCGAAGAGCAGAGAGCAGAGCCUUUCACAUCAACACAGGUGAGACAAAACUACAGUGCACACAUUUAUGAAGUUUAUUACAUAAUUUGGUAUGAAAAUAAAGUAUCACAAGACAACCAAUGCAAUAACAACAUUCACACAUUCAUUUCCGCAGUUCAUGUAAGUGUACCGACACUUUCUGUCCUUCCUCUUUUUUGAUUCUUCAUGUGUUGUGAAUUCCAUUUAAUUUUUUUGUGCUAAGUGCUGUACACCAAAACAAGGUUAUGUAGUGGAAAAAUAAAAACACAGAACCUGAUAAGUUUUAAUAAAACGCUUCUUUUUCUGAAAUUUUAGGACAAUGUACCUCAAGCAAUAGAUGAUGUCCACACCCAAGGACUAACGGAAGAGCAAAGUUGCAUCUCGAUUCUCUCCUUUGCAUUGAGAC